UACGUAGGUGGCAAGCGUUAUCCGGAUUUAUUGGGCGUAAAGAGAACGCAGGCGGUCUUUUAAGUCUGAUGUGAAAGCCUUCGGCUUAACCGGAGUGGUGCAUUGGAAACUGGGAGACUUGAGUGCAGAAGAGGAGAGUGGAACUCCAUGUGUAGCGGUGAAAUGCGUAGAUAUAUGGAAGAACACCAGUGGCGAAAGCGGCUCUCUGGUCUGUAACUGACGCUGAGGUUCGAAAGCGUGGGUAGCAAACAGG
rnacentral:rRNA from 1 species